ACGAACGCUGGCGGUAUGCUUAACACAUGCAAGUCGAACGGGUGCAGCAAUGCAUCAGUGGCAAACGGGUGAGUAAUGCAAAGGAACCUUCCUAGUAGUAAGGGAUAACUUCGAGAAAUCGAAGCUAAUACCAUAUACACCCCUUCAAGUAAAAAUUAAGGGGGAAAGAUUUAUCGCUAUUAGAUGGGCCUUUGUCGGAUUAGCUAGUUGGUAGGGUAAUGGCCUACCAAGGCAAUGAUCCGUAGCUGGUCUGAGAGGAUGAUCAGCCACACUGGAACUGAGACACGGUCCAGACUCCUACGGGAGGCAGCAGUGGGGAAUAUUGGACAAUGGGCGCAAGCCUGAUCCAGCAAUACCGCGUGGGUGAUGAAGGUCUUCGGAUUGUAAAGCCCUUUUAGUGAGGAAGAUAAUGACGGUACUCACAGAAAAAGCACCGGCUAACUUCGU
rnacentral:rRNA from 1 species